ACGCUCCACGUGUUGGUUCUGUACGAUCAGCCUCAACUUUCAUGUCGACUUUAGAUCUGGUCCAUAAAAGGUUUAGAUGUGAUGAUGAUUACUUUUAGGAUCUUCAGGAUCCUGCUGCUCAUCAACCUGAUCUCAUGUGUCUCUGGAACAUUUGUAGUGAAUGUGACACAGACCUCCUAUCAGGCAGAGGAGAACCACAACAUCACACUGGAGUGGACGUUCACUAUCAGACCUGACAGAUCCAUCACCUUUAUUAUUAUCUACUGUGAACUGAUAAAUAAACUUAGACGUUUUGGUCUGUUUCAUCUCCAUGACGCUGUUGAGGUCUCAGAGUCUCAGGAUCAACAGUUUUCAGGAAGAGUCCAGUUUGACAAAGACGUCCUCAGAGAAGGACGAAUCAGACUCCAACUGUCCAGACUCAGGACUAAUGACUCAGGACUGUACCUGUGUGAAGUGAAAACAGAUCAAGGUUGGAGCUCUGACAGAUGUCGACUCAACAUCACUGGUGAGUAGAUUCAGUAAAACUUUAUUAACAAAUCAGCAGGUUGUUAAAAACCUAAGGAGAAACAGUUUAUUUAAAGUUUGGACUUUUCCUUCUUGUAAAUCUGAACUAUGUUCCACUUUAUUCUUUGGUUAUAAUUUAGUUUCUUCUUUAGAGAAAUGUUUAUUUCUCCUCAUGAAUGACACAGAUGUGUUUGCUUCUUUACAGCAGUGAGAGACUCGUCUGAACCUCAGGAAGAAAUUGAACUAAACACAGUAAAUCGAGGAUGGAUCGGUCUUUACUGUGGACUGGGACUGACAGCAGCAGCUGUUUGUUGUUGUUUAUUUGUUUUUCAACUUAGAACAAAAGCUUUUGUUGUUUGUGGCUCAGGAUCUGUGGUUUGAUUCCCAGUGUCCUUGGACAACACUAUAAAUGUCCGAGUAGCAUCUUGAAUGUAGAAGAGGUCCAUAACAAUUUCCUCCUAUUCUUAAAUUUCCAAAACAAAAUAAGUUAUUUAAAUACUAAUAAAUACUAUCAAACAUGACUCCAGCAGAAUGUAACCUAAGGAAAUAUUUAUAUUGACCCUUCUCAUUGUGAGUUCUACCUUUGGUCCAAAAUAAAUAUAGAGCAUUACCUGUUACACAUAUUGAAAUGUAGCUACAAUGAAGAUUUUCUGUUUGUUAGUUAACAGUUGUUUAUUAUUUCCCUAAAUCACUAAAAGAGCUUUUUAUUGUUUUGUCUUCUUUAGAUCAUUAAGCUUGUUAAAAUGUAUCUGAUGUAUCACAAAGUGCUUUAUUGUUAUCAUCUGACUUAUCUGGAUGAACUAAUUGUAAAAACAUUUACAUCCAGACUUUAAAAUUGUGGAUUCAAUUAAAAUGACGUUUAUGAAGUUUACAUUCUUGACAGUGAUUUGUGACAGUAAAUCAAGACGUUUCAGUCUGAUUCUGAUCAAUGUCUCACAUGAACUCUUGCUGUAGAAUCAACGGAUGAUUUAACGAUGAUGAAAAAUGAUGAUGAAGUUGGAGCAGGUUGAGCAGUGAAGAGUCUGUCCAGGACUGGUGAGUGAUCCAAACCACAUUUAACCAGAAAAACCUUUAUGCAAACCCCAAAAAAACCCAAAUCCACAAUGCAGUGAGACCUCGUCCAGGUCUUAAUCCAGUAUCUAGUCCAGCAUAUUGUUUACAAAGUACAGACUGCUCCUUAUUUUAUUAAACAUAUUUAUCCAUGCAUAUUUUAUUAAAUUAAUUAAUUAGUAACCAUGGUAACACUCUUUUUUUGCAGAGGUGAUAGAGGUACUCAGAUAAUGACUUCACAAACCUUGUUGCUAUGAAUUUACUUUAAAAAAUCAUAAAUAUCCAUUUCAUUGUUUGGAAGAAAUUUAGACUAAGCUAAUUCUGGUGGCUGCACCCCAGUGAAAUAAAAGCUUUUUAAACAGAA
rnacentral:lncRNA from 1 species